rnacentral:rRNA from 1 species
UCGGGAAUUUUGGACAAUGGGGGCAACCCUGAUCCAGCAAUGCCGCGUGAGUGAAGAAGGCCUUCGGGUUGUAAAGCUCUUUUGUCAGGGAAGAAACGGUAGUAGCGAAUAACUAUUACUAAUGACGGUACCUGAAGAAUAAGCACCGGCUAACUACGUGCCAGCAGCCGCGGUAAUACGUAGGGUGCAAGCGUUAAUCGGAAUUACUGGGCGUAAAGCGUGCGCAGGCGGUUGUGUAAGUCAGAUGUGAAAUCCCCGGGCUCAACCUGGGAAUUGCAUUUGAGACUGCACGGCUAGAGUGUGUCAGAGGGGGGUAGAAUUCCACGUGUAGCAGUGAAAUGCGUAGAUAUGUGGAGGAAUACCGAUGGCGAAGGCAGCCCCCUGGGAUAAUACUGACGCUCAUGCACGAAAGCGUGGGGAGCAAACAGGAUUAGAUACCCUCGUAGUCCCUGAGCGGGCUGGCAAGGCGCAU